GCCCGUUUGGCGUAGUGGUAGCGCGUGUCACUUGUAUCUUUCUCAAGUCUGCGAUGACAAGGUCGCUCGUUCGAUCCGGGCAAUGGGCA